rnacentral:rRNA from 1 species
UACGGGGGGGGGCAAGCGUUGUUCGGAAUUACUGGGCGUAAAGGGCUCGUAGGCGGCCAACUCAGUCGGACGUGAAAUCCCUCGGCUUAACCGGGGAACUGCGUCCGAUACUGGAUGGCUUGAGUGUGGGAGAGGGAUGCGGAAUUCCAGGUGUAGCGGUGAAAUGCGUAGAUAUCUGGAGGAACACCGGUGGCGAAGGCGGCAUCCUGGACUACUACUGACGCUGAGGCACGAAAGCGUGGGGAGCAAACAGG